rnacentral:rRNA from 1 species
AUUGAACGCUGGCGGCAGGCCUAACACAUGCAAGUCGAACGGUAACAGGAAGCAGCUUGCUGCUUCGCUGACGAGUGGCGGACGGGUGAGUAAUGUCUGGGAAACUGCCUGAUGGAGGGGGAUAACUACUGGAAACGGUAGCUAAUACCGCAUAACGUCGCAAGACCAAAGAGGGGGACCUUAGGGCCUCUUGCCAUCGGAUGUGCCCAGAUGGGAUUAGCUAGUAGGUGGGGUAACGGCUCACCUAGGCGACGAUCCCUAGCUGGUCUGAGAGGAUGACCAGCCACACUGGAACUGAGACACGGUCCAGACUCCUACGGGAGGCAGCAGUGGGGAAUAUUGCACAAUGGGCGCAAGCCUGAUGCAGCCAUGCCGCGUGUAUGAAGAAGGCCUUCGGGUUGUAAAGUACUUUCAGCGGGGAGGAAGGGAGUAAAGUUAAUACCUUUGCUUAUUGACGUUACCCGCAGAAGAAGCACCGGCUAACUCCGUG